CCAAGAUCAUUUCAAACAAUACAGAUUGCCCAUAGUAACAAAUCGAAAAUACAAAAUUUGGGGCAAUUGAUCAAAAUCAAUUCAAGGAUGGCUUGUCAUUUGAAAAUGGAUGGCAGGUAACAAAUAUACAAGAAAAUGAAACAUGACUCAAGGAAUCAACCAUAUACCACCAUCACCAACGUACUACCACCCAAAAUAAUGAACAAGAUAGCCAAAAAGAAAUCACAAAUAAACCCGUUCAAGAAAUGGAAGUAAAUGAAGCAGAAUUCAAGUGCUCUGCUAAUGAGGAAAAGCACAAAUCUUAUUGCACUCUUCUGCUAAAUCUGUUCCUUGAUUGAGCCAUUUGGAAGCAGAGGGCAUUUUCCCUCACUUUUAAAAAUCAAAACUUAAAACUAAAUCUCACUAAUUACAGUAUCAAAACUCUUCCAGUUUCCUUCACUUUCUCAACAACCGAACGAUCACAAUCCAAUAGCCAAACAAAGAAAUCUUAACCCACCAGCAACGUCACCAUGCAGUAGUCAAAUAAUGGGGCAGAACUUGGUGCUAAUGGUGGGAUUCAUGGUGACAGCAAGAUGUUGCGAUUCUCUCUUCGUGGCGUCGACUAUUGGUGGCUUCAAAGGUGAAACUGAUGCUACCAAGGAGAAG
rnacentral:lncRNA from 1 species